ACACUUUACAUCCUGCAGGGUCCUUCUAAUUCCACUAGGGAAAGAAGGCAAAGGGAGAGGAGAAACCGGAGGAAGAACUUAUGGGGAAACGUAAGUCUUCUCCGCGG
rfam:Bacillus sp. SG-1 1101501000809, whole genome shotgun sequence.